rnacentral:lncRNA from 1 species
GAUAAAUUUGAUUAGUAUAUUCUAGAAUAUGCUAGAUAUAGAUUCUUAGAAUCUUCACUACGCGGCCUUGUUAGGGCUUCAUCCCGCGGUCUCUCUCGCUUGGAUCGAUCGGCUUGGCGCUCGAAGGUACGAUUAGAUCACGAGCUUCAGAUCCCGGCUAGAUCUAAAAUAUUUCGCAGCAAUCGAUCUUAUUCUUUUCUUUCUUACGCAGCGAUCGAUCUUAAUGCGCAAGAAUCGUCGACGAUGCACAGGGCGCAGAGCGCCAAUCUUUCUCUAGAAGCUAGCUACGCAACGAAUGCCGUCUAUCUCCACACAUCCCCGACGCGAGCGGCG